UACGUAGGGGGCAAGCGUUGUCCGGAAUCAUUGGGCGUAAAGAGCGUGUAGGCGGCCCGAUAAGUCCGCUGUGAAAGUCCAGGGCUCAACCCUGGGAUGCCGGUGGAUACUGUCGGGCUCGAGUCCGGAAGAGGAGUGUGGAGUUCCUGGUGUAGCGGUGAAAUGCGCAGAUAUCAGGAGGAACACCAAUGGCGAAGGCAGCACUCUGGGACGUGACUGACGCUGAGACGCGAAAGCGUGGGGAGCAAACAGG
rnacentral:rRNA from 1 species